rnacentral:lncRNA from 13 species
GGCCUCCGUGUCCACAGCCCAGCAUCUCCAGUUCCAGGGUCUCACAGCCAGCCCCGAGGGGUCAGGCACCAGUGUGGCAGCUGGGCUCCCCCUCCUCCUCCUGCCCCUCACCCAGGGCUGGGAGUGUCCAGCCCAACACGGGGCCCAGCAGGAGUGGGGGGAUCACCCCAGAGAGAAGCCUGGGCUGGGGAUGAGCUGAGAGGCCAGAAGACGGAGCAGGACCCUCCCGUCCAGGCCACCUGGGAAGGGGCCCCCUGCGGAAGCCCAAGCCCACUCAGACCCCAGUCCCCAAGCCACGAAGUUGAGCCUGACGCCAGGAGACGGCCACCCUCCGGAGGCCGGCGCUUGUUCAGAGCACUCGACUGGUCCCACAGUCUCCGCAGCAAUGCCAGGGCAGAGUUGCCCACGUGGGCUUCGCUCCUGGGACCACCUGUGUCAGUACUUGUCCCCCACCGUCCGUGGACCCCCGGCCACAUCCCAGGCCCUGCAGUGGGUCUGCAGAGGCUCUGGGCUUUGCUGACAGAAAUGGCCACUGAGAGCAAAAGUCAAGGGGAAUCAUCCCUCCUGGAGCCCGGCAGGCCCAGGAGCAGCCCCAACUGCAGCAGGAGGCGGUGUGCUCCAGGCUGGGGAGGGGGACGUGGAAGGCUCCCGCCCAGGACAUGCCCUUCGGACUUCCCUUCCCCCUCACUGGUAUCUUGGGACCAUGGUGAGGACUACAUGCACUACAACGCCCAGGGAGCCGCUGGCCCAGGCAGUGUUUGACACGUCAGCUGCGGUUCAUCCAGGGCACCCGGGAGGCCAGAGGAGAAGGCAGAGGGGGCCAUGUGGCCCAGGAAACCCAUCACCAGGGGAUGCAGAAGAGGCGUGUGUGGGCAGACGUUGGGGCGUCGGAGCUGUGUGCCGGGAGCGGAGGCAGCGGGCGGGCGUCCUUGGCCAUCCAGGUCCGAGACACUUCCCCAGGGAGGCGCCCUGCCCAGCAAGGAGGAGAGAGAAGCUCUACCUGACGACGGCAGCGGCCCUGGGGGGCCCGUGAGUGGUGCCAGGGGCCUGCCCAGGGAGGGAGGCGAUAGCGUGGGUGCAGGCAGGAUGCCAGCCUCGGUCGUGUGGGGGCCUGGAGAGCUCGGAGCACGAUGACCAGGCCAGAGCACGGUCCCAUUCUCCCAGGGGGCAUCGGAGGGCACAGGGAGGACGAGGGGGCCCACGGGAGUCUUGAGGGCCAGCGUUUCACUCUCAGUGGGAGUAGUGUCGUUCCACAGCUGGACAAAGCUCCGGAUGCCUUCGGCCACGUUCAGGAUCUCGGCUCCCACACCGGCAAUGUUCUUCUCCGGUGCAUCCAGGCUCUCAGCAGAAGUGGGGGUGUCCUGGCCACCUUCCAGCAGCUCUGAGGGUGGCUUAGGGUUGCCAGGGGCUGUCUCUAGCUCUGUGGAACCAUUCUGCGGGGCCACAAGCAUGGUGGGGCCUGCUGUGGGCUUGGGGACCGUGGCAGCUGUGUGGCUGGUGUCCUUACUGGGCCAUAGCCAGCUCAGGUCCAGCAGGUCGGCCUGGGCAGCCACCAGGCAGCAGAAGAGCAGCAGCAGGACGCAGCGGCCGCUGGGGUCGGGAGCCAUUGGGACUGUGCAGCUGGAGUGAGGGCAGCACGAGGCCUCUGUGCCUGGAGGUGGGGUCAGCCAGGCUCCCGCCCUCCUGCCCUCCCACCCUGGGCAGUCUUCCCAGCCUCUGGGUGGCUCUGUCUCCCACCCUUCACUCUUGCAGAAGGAAAAAAGGCACCAGCCUUGGAAUCAAGGU